rnacentral:rRNA from 1 species
CCUGGCGGUAAGUAGCGCGGUGGUCCCACCUGACCCCAUGCCGAACUCAGAAGUGAAACGCCGUAGCGCCGAUGGUAGUGUGGGGUCUCCCCAUGCGGAGUAGGGAACUGCCAGGC